GUUUGUGCUUCUCACUCAUACAUAUUCAAAGUAGUGCUGCGAUAGAACUUAUUUAUUUGGUCCAGUCCAAUCAUAGGAACUGUCUUAGGUGUAGUCAGUACUAGAACUGAUGAAUAAAGAAGGAAUAAAGUUGAGUGACGUCAUCAACUUUAUCAGUUUUAGGACUAUUAUGCAGGACUGAAUUGGACCAGACUGAAAUUGAACUGGAUGGGACUGUAGUCUUCAGUCCGAAACAAGGAUGGAAACAACAACCAUUAAAAUGACAAAGAUUCUUUACUUGGAAUAUAUCAAAGUACUUAAUGGGCCAAAAGAGGAGUGUUUUUAUUUCAAAGUUGUACAUAAGAUACUCGUAUACACCAAGAAGGAUCUUCACUUUUUAUGGGUAGAUUUGAUUACAACUUAUGGCGAAGAGAACCUUCAAAUCCUUCUCCAAUAAAAUAGCACAACGACUUAAUCGUGAUUACAGGCAUUAAAAGAUACAAAAUAAUAACAAGAAAUAAACAAGAGUGCCAAGUUACGUCAUUGAUGGGCCAGAUUAUAUUUUAUUAUAUAUAUAUAAAAAUAUGUUACAUAUUACUUUUGAUUUGAUUGUCAGUUAAUAAUUUUUUAUCAAUCCUUUGCAUUUUCAAAAAUGAACGGACUGUUUAUUACUUAAAAGUUUUAUUCAUUUUAAAAGUUUAAAUUAUUAUCAAUAGUUAAAAUCUACUCAAAUAAGAA
rnacentral:lncRNA from 1 species